CCGAACGACGACCCUUGGUGGCUAGGGCACGGUGAGGAACAAGGUUCGUGUCAUCUCCCAACCUACCGACUCCCUCGUCCAUCUUCCUCUAGUUAUUCAUGGAGCGAUCUGCGUCUUCUCUAGCCGAAUCAGACAGUGAUGCCAUCGGGAGGUGAUCUAGAGAGAUUGGUCCUCCUCUUCUUGCGGUUGAGUGGGGAAUUCGGUUGAAGAGGUUGAGACCAGUGAGUGGUGCUUGGGCUGUAGGGCAGAGACUUUAGGUGUUGAUGCUUGAUCAGUAGUCUUCCUGCUUGAUUCCACUGUGAUCCGAUUGAUUUCCUGUGAGGUUGAGUGUCCUGUGGAUCUGGAAUUGUGGUUCCGGCAACACCUCAACCAGUAGCUCCUUUGGUUUCAACAAUCAACAGCGGUUGCUAAUUGAGGAUCUUGUCUGGUCCAGCAGAUCACUUUGUUUUCCAACAGCUCAAUUGAGUGAGGUUCUGUUGCUGUGAUGCUGGAAUUGUGAUCUUUGAGGUGUAUCCAGCAGCUUUCCCUAACCGGCAGCAACACCUUUGAUUGUGAUCUAUUGGUGAUCACUUUGGGUUUGAGG